CCUACGGGCGGCAGCAGUGAGGAAUAUUGGGCAAUGGGCGUAAGCCUGAACCAGCAAAGUCGCGUGAGGGAUGAAGGUUCUAUGGAUCGUAAACCUCUUUUAGAAGGGAAUAAAGUGUGGGACGUGUCCUGUUUUGUAUGUACCUUAUUAAUAAGGAGCGGCUAACUCCGUGCCAGCAGCCGCGGUAAUACGGAGGAUCCGAGCGUUAUCCGGAUUGAUUGGGUUUAAAGGGCGCGUAGGCGGCAUUUUAAGUCAGCGGUGAAAGUCUGUGGCUCAACCAUAGAAUUGCAGUUGAAACUGGGAGGCUUGAGUAUGUUUGAGGCAGGCGGAAUGCGUGGUGUAGCGGUGAAAUGCUUAGAUAUCACGAAGAACCCCGAUUGCGAAGGCAGCCUGCCAAGCCAUGACUGACGCUGAUGCACGAAAGCGUGGGGAUCAAACAGGAUUAGAUACCCUUGUAGUC
rnacentral:rRNA from 1 species